rnacentral:rRNA from 1 species
AGUGAACGCUGGCGGUAGGCCUAACACAUGCAAGUCGAACGGCAGCACCGUAAGUGCUUGCUCUUACGGGUGGCGCGUGCCGGACGGGUGCGGAAUACUUCGGAAUCUAUUUUUUCGUGGGGGCCAACGUAGGGAGACUUACGUUAAUACCGCAUACGCUCUACGGGUUAAUGCAGGGGAUCUUCGGACCUUGCGCGAUUGAAUGAGCCGAUGUCGGAUUAGCUAGUUGGCGGGGUAAUGGCCCACCAAGGCGACGAUCCGUAGCUGGUCUGAGAGGAUGAUCAGCCACACUGGAACUGAGACACGGUCCAGACUCCUACGGGAGGCAGCAGUGGGGAAUAUUGGACAAUGAGCGCAAGCCUGAUCCAGCCAUACCGCGUGGGUAAAGAAGGAGUUCUGGUUGUAAAGCCCUUUUGUUGCGAAAGAAAAGCAGCAGGUUAAUACCCCGCUGUUCUGACGGUACCAAGAGAAUAAGCACCGGCUAACUUCGUG